rnacentral:rRNA from 1 species
UACGUAGGGCGCAAGCGUUGUCCGGAAUUAUUGGGCGUAAAGAGCUCGUAGGCGGCUUGUCACGUCGGGUGUGAAAGCCCCGGGGCUUAACCCCGGGUCUGCAUUCGAUACGGGCUAGCUAGAGUGUGGUAGGGGAGAUCGGAAUUCCUGGUGUAGCGGUGAAAUGCGCAGAUAUCAGGAGGAACACCGGUGGCGAAGGCGCUGCUCUGGGCCGGUACUGACGCUGAGGAGCGAAAGCGUGGGUAGCAAACAGG